rnacentral:lncRNA from 1 species
CGUCUAAUUUGGCACAGAAGAAUGGUUGAAGGAGUGAUGAUUCGAGCUACCUCAGGGGACAGCUCAGCUUCUGUUAGCCAUUCAUAACUCAAAAUAGCCGAAAGGCUUUUAAUGUGUUCUAUGUCAACAGAGUCUACACUUAGAAUGGGUUGAGUGGUCCCUACUAGAGGUCGUGUUUGGAUGGGAAAAUUCGAGGUGUUUCCAUAAUCUUCAAAAAGAUCUUCCUCGAAUUCGAAGGGAUGCUCUAAAGGUGGUGGUUCAUCAUCCCUUAGUUGGUUUUGC